UUUAUUCACUAUUUUCUGUCACGUUUUGUCAGCAGGUGGCGCACGGUGAAAAAUCUGAAAAUGUCAGUCGACCUGUUUCGUUUCUCUGAAAGGUCUCCCACAUUUCUAUUUCUUCUAUUUGUCCAUUUAAUAAUUGUUAUCGUUACGAUGUCUCUCUAUCCUUAUUUUAUUCGAUAAAAUGAUUUUGAUCCAAUACACAUUGACUUAACCUCUUGUUCCUACAGAAGAUUAUAUUGCAUUGUCCGUCCAACUUAAAGACAAAAAACUUAUACUCGUUAUUAAUAUCAAGUCUUUUUACAAUCGCAUUCGUUUAAAGGUUUUAUAAAUUUAUUAUGUUCUAUGUAAUAAUGUUCUUAUGCUCUCUUGAUUUCAUUGAUGAAACGUCAUAGAAAGAUUCUUAGCGUUGAAGAAUCUUUUAUUCGGCAUGCAUUAGACGUAAAAAGCAUUUUUUCAAAGUGAAGAGUCUAUAUUUAUUGUAAAUGCAGAUUCUUAGAAAACAUUUCGAUUCUAUUAGCAAGAAGGAGAAAUUUAAACCAAUACGUGAUGGUACAAAAUCUUUUUAUAAUCAUUAUCAUUUGAAAACUACGAACUUAAGAUCGCAAUGACAAUUUUUAACUUAUAGUUUCUCUAUGCGAUUUCAUUGAUUAGACGUCGUUAAGAUAUUCUUCUCUUCGAAUAUGCAGGUAGCCACUCAACUCUUAUGUUUUAUCAUAUUUAAAAAAAUUAGCGUUACACUAAAAUGAAGCUAUUAUUGGAAUGAAAAUGGAUAUUGUAAAUGUCUAUAAUAAACAUGUCUUUAUUAUACUGAAACAUUAACGAUACUUGAUGUUUCAGGAAAACUUUGUACUAAGAUCAAGCUGCAGUGCGCUUUGUUUUUAAAAUAUUUUAUAAAUAUUCUAUUGUGUGCGUGUAAAAAUGAAAAAUAUUUUUAGUGAAAAACAGAUUUGAAUUUAGUAAAUGAUUAUUUAAACUUUUAUUUUCAUUUAUUAUCAUAUUAAGAAAAAGUAAGAUAUCAGUAUAUCUAUAUAUAUGGGAGUCACUAAUUUUGGUCGUCUAUUGUCGCAAAAAUUCUGAUUUCUUAACAGGAGCACAUGACAAUGGUGGAGUUCGUCGUAUUAGUUCAUUCAUUAAUUACCAUAGUGAAUACAGUCCGAUAUUUUUUAAAUUAUAAGUAAAGGAAGGAUACACGAGAUGGCGCAAGGUGUUAUCUUUAAGCAUAUAAAAAGUUCAUCUUUAACACUUUAGUUCUCACAAGUUUCCGCUAGAUGACGACACAUGAAUCGUUUUCGCUUUUUUUUAUCGGCAUCCUUGAACAGCUGAUAAUAUCACGUGAUAGAACUCCACUACUUUCAUGUACUCCUGUUAAGAAAUCGGAAUUUUUGCGACAAUAUGGCGGCUAAUUAAUGAUCCUCGUAUAUAUAGAUAUACAGAAUCUCGUUGCAAUCGCGUGCGUAGCAAUGAAGUAAUCGAGUGUUUGCACCGCUGAAAUAAAAAUAUCGCGAUGUAGAAGCAAUGUUUGUUCGUUCGCGUUUCGCGAUUUAAACGAUAAGUGUUUUUGCAUAGACUGCGUGCAAUGCAGUCUUUAGAGUCAGUAAACGUUCGCGAAGUUUUUUGCUUUUUUAUAAGUAGCACAGGCUGUAUUUAUAAAAGAUAGUAGAGUUUCGUUAAGUAAAUUCAGUGACCCUUAUAGUUAGGGCACGAAGUAAAGAAGAGGCCUCCACAAAUUGUGGCUCAAGAGGGCAAUUAUUAAAUUAUUGAGUUAUUUUCGAAGAUUCUACAGAAAUCUUCGAGAAUGGCUCUUAAUCAUAUUUUAAUUUUACUAUGUUGUCACUCAAA